GAAACCUGAUCCUCCACAUAUUAAAAACCUCUCCUUCCACAAUGAUGACCUAUAUGUGCAAUGGGAGAAUCCACAGAAUUUUAUUAGCAGAUGCCUAUUUUAUGAAGUAGAAGUCAAUAACAGCCAAACUGAGACACAUAAUGUUUUCUACGUCCAAGAGGCUAAAUGUGAGAAUCCAGAAUUUGAGAGAAAUGUGGAGAAUACAUCUUGUUUCAUGGUCCCUGGUGUUCUUCCUGAUACUUUGAACACAGUCAGAAUAAGAGUCAAAACAAAUAAGUUAUGCUAUGAGGAUGACAAACUCUGGAGUAAUUGGAGCCAAGAAAUGAGUAUAGGUAAGAAGCGCAAUUCCACACUCUACAUAACCAUGUUACUCAUUGUUCCAGUCAUCGUCGCAGGUGCAAUCAUAGUACUCCUGCUUUACCUAAAAAGGUAAGAUUAUUAUAUUCCCUCCAAUUCCUGAUCCUGGCAAGAUUUUUAAAGAAAUGUUUGGAGACCAGAAUGAUGAUACUCUGCACUGGAAGAAGUACGACAUCUAUGAGAAGCAAACCAAGGAGGAAACCGACUCUGUAGUGCUGAUAGAAAACCUGAAGAAAGCCUCUCAGUGAUGGAGAUAAUUUAUUUUUACCUUCACUGUGACCUUGAGAAGAUUCUUCCCAUUCUCCAUUUGUUAUCUGGGAACUUAUUAAAUGGAAACUGAAACUACUGCACCAUUUAAAAACAGGCAGCUCAUAAGAGCCACAGGUCUUUAUGUUGAGUCGCGCACCGAAAAACUAAAAAUAAUGGGCGCUUUGGAGAAGAGUGUGGAGUCAUUCUCAUUGAAUUAUAAAAGCCAGCAGGCUUCAAACUAGGGGACAAAGCAAAAAGUGAUGAUAGUGGUGGAGUUAAUCUUAUCAAGAGUUGUGACAACUUCCUGAGGGAUCUAUACUUGCUUUGUGUUCUUUGUGUCAACAUGAACAAAUUUUAUUUGUAGGGGAACUCAUUUGGGGUGCAAAUGCUAAUGUCAAACUUGAGUCACAAAGAACAUGUAGAAAACAAAAUGGAUAAAAUCUGAUAUGUAUUGUUUGGGAUCCUAUUGAACCAUGUUUGUGGCUAUUAAAACUCUUUUAACAGUCUGGGCUGGGUCCGGUGGCUCACGCCUGUAAUCCCAGCAAUUUGGGAGUCCGAGGCGGGCGGAUCACUCGAGGUCAGGAGUUCCAGACCAGCCUGACCAAAAUGGUGAAACCUCCUCUCUACUAAAACUACAAAAAUUAACUGGGUGUGGUGGCGCGUGCCUGUAAUCCCAGCUACUCGGGAAGCUGAGGCAGGUGAAUUGUUUGAACCUGGGAGGUGGAGGUUGCAGUGAGCAGAGAUCACACCACUGCACUCUAGCCUGGGUGACAGAGCAAGACUCUGUCUAAAAAACAAAAC
rnacentral:lncRNA from 10 species